UCUUGUGUGAUUCUUGAUGGAUUUCUCAUUUAGUGUCAAACAACCUACUGUAUUUUAAGGGGAUGGUGCAAGCUCACGUUUUUUUUUGUGGAGCAAACGGAUUUUUCUAACCACUUCAAAGAUGCCUUUUCUCCUUCUUGUCAACAUGGCCUCUAUUUAUGCAAGUUGUACCCCGUUCCUCAUGGAUGCUUCACAGCUUAAUGCGGUUGAUUUAUAAUCACCUUGCUCACGAUCAACUUCGGUUCAUAUAAUGCUGCAAACUUAAAGAUUUUCCGUGAUUUCUCACUGGCAUUCCCGAAAGCAGUGCGCUUUCAAGAAACGAUUAUUUUGGUGUAUGAACAGUUGACAACAAAAUUUCGCCUGGGGAUCACAUGUUCCCAUUCCAAACACUGAAGAUGAUAAUGUUUUUUUAAAUUUCAAUUAAAUGCAACAAUUUAAAGAUAUUUUUAUUUAGAAUGCCGAAAACUAUUGGUUCUGGUAUUGCGACAGAUUCCAUCUUAAAAAAGAUUCGUGUCGUAAGUCAGGAAUCAAUCAUUGAACGAGUUGUUUAUUUCACUAAGGCUAACGAAGACGUUUUAUCUGUUAUCGACGAAAAGCCUCAUCUCAAGGGGUCGCCGAUGAUGUGUUGUAUAAAUAUUUUUUUACACCUCCGUUUUUAGUGUCCGCCCUGGUAGGGUGUGUCCUUCAGUGGCUGAUUUUCUUACAAAGUUAAGUGCGGAGAAAGGGGACGGACAACAAUUGAAGCAGCCCACACUGGAUCUCUUCAUUUGCUCAAUUUUUCGAAAAUAGCUUUUCACCUACUUUACAUAUUUUUCGAAUGAAUCUACAGAUGUUGAACUUCUUUUAACUAACUUCAUUUAAAGCGCAUUUAUCGAAAUGC